GAUGUACGCUAGCUACAGGCUUAACACAUGCAAGUCGAGGGGAAACGACAUCGAAAGCUUGCUUUUGAUGGGCGUCGACCGGCGCACGGGUGAGUAACGCGUAUCCAACCUGCCCAUCACUUGGGAAUAACCUUGCGAAAGUAAGACUAAUACCCAAUGACAUCCCACGAAGACAUCUGAAUGGGAUUAAAGAUUUAUCGGUGAUGGAUGGGGAUGCGUCUGAUUAGCUUGUUGGCGGGGUAACGGCCCACCAAGGCAACGAUCAGUAGGGGUUCUGAGAGGAAGGUCCCCCACAUUGGAACUGAGACACGGUCCAAACUCCUACGGGAGGCAGCAGUGAGGAAUAUUGGGCAAUGGGCGAGAGCCUGAACCAGCCAAGUAGCGUGCAGAAUGACGGCCCUAUGGGUUGUAAACUGCUUUUAUAAGGGAAUAAAGUGGGUCUCGUGAGACUUUUUGCAUGUACCUUAUGAAUAAGGACCGGCUAAUUCCGUG
rnacentral:rRNA from 1 species